rnacentral:pre_miRNA from 11 species
GUUUCUAGCACCUCCUGAGUUAAUGCGCUUCUUUGAGCCGCGGGUUUACUCGUGGUGAGGAUCCGGGGCACCGAGCAAUCCUCAGGACACAGACGGAGCGGAAGGCACGGUUGUGUGACGCAACCUAAUCACCGCCCCGACAGUCC